UAGGGAAUUUUCGGCAAUGGGGGAAACCCUGACCGAGCAACGCCGCGUGAAGGAAGAAGGUUUUCGGAUUGUAAACUUCUGUUAUAAAGGAAGAACGGCGGCUACAGGAAAUGGUAGCCGAGUGACGGUACUUUAUUAGAAAGCCACGGCUAACUACGUGCCAGCAGCCGCGGUAAUACGUAGGUGGCAAGCGUUAUCCGGAAUUAUUGGGCGUAAAGAGGGAGCAGGCGGCAGCAAGGGUCUGUGGUGAAAGCCUGAAGCUUAACUUCAGUAAGCCAUAGAAACCAGGCAGCUAGAGUGCAGGAGAGGAUCGUGGAAUUCCAUGUGUAGCGGUGAAAUGCGUAGAUAUAUGGAGGAACACCAGUGGCGAAGGCGACGAUCUGGCCUGCAACUGACGCUCAGUCCCGAAAGCGUGGGGAGCAAAUAGG
rnacentral:rRNA from 3 species